CCAGCAGCCGCGGUAAUUCCAGCUCCAAUAGCGUAUAUUUAAGUUGUUGCAGUUAAAAAGCUCGUAGUUGGAUUUCGGGUGGGUUUCAGCGGUCCGCCUAUGGUGAGUACUGCUGUGGCCUUCCUUACUGUCGGGGACCUGCUUCUGGGCUUCAUUGUCCGGGACAGGGAUUCGGCAUGGUUACUUUGAGUAAAUUGGAGUGUUCAAAGCAGGCUUACGCCGUGAACAUUUUAGCAUGGAAUAACAUGAUAGGACUCUGCCCUAUUCUGUUGGCCUGUAGGAGUGGAGUAAUGAUUAAGAGGAACAGUCGGGGGCAUUCGUAUUUCAUUGUCAGAGGUGAAAUUCUUGGAUUUAUGAAAGACGAACUACUGCGAAAGCAUUUGCCAAGGAUGUUUUCAUUAAUCAAGAACGAAAGU
rnacentral:rRNA from 1 species